UGUCGUCAGCUCGUGUUGUGAAAUGUUGGGUUAAGUCCCGCAACGAGCGCAACCCUUAUCCUUUGUUGCCAGCGGUCCGGCCGGGAACUCAAAGGAGACUGCCAGUGAUAAACUGGAGGAAGGUGGGGAUGACGUCAAGUCAUCAUGGCCCUUACGACCAGGGCUACACACGUGCUACAAUGGCGCAUACAAAGAGAAGCGACCUCGCGAGAGCAAGCGGACCUCAUAAAGUGCGUCGUAGUCCGGAUUGGAGUCUGCAACUCGACUCCAUGAAGUCGGAAUCGCUAGUAAUCGUGGAUCAGAAUGCCACGGUGAAUACGUUCCCGGGCCUUGUACACACCGCCCGUCACACCAUGGGAGUGGGUUGCAAAAGAAGUAGGUAGCUUAACCUUCGGGAGGGCGCUUACCACUUUGUGAUUCAUGACUGGGGUGAAGUCGUAACAAGGUAACCGUAGGGGAACCUGCGGUUGGAUCACCUCCUUACCUUAA
rnacentral:rRNA from 1 species